UUAAUCCAGGUGUUAAAAAUACAUAAAUAUGUGUCCAAUAUAUUUUCCUCUAUUCCAUAAAAUCUUUAAUGGUAUUAGUUCAAACAACUUUUCUUUUGAUUUUGUGCCACAAAGUUUCCUUCAGUGUGUUGAGAGCAGAGAAAUCAUUUCCAUAGAGAGGAGGCUUUGUAUCAUCAGCUGAUCCUCCAGAGAACUGAGAAGGUUUAUAGUCCUGUCAGUUCAACACUGCAGGACUCACAUCUAUCAGUCAACACAGCAGAAAGCACAACCACCAUGACUCUCAUCACCAUCCUCAUCUGGACGCUGACCUGCUGCUGUUUUACAGGAUGCAGCGGUCAGGUGACUGUGACUCAACCUCCAGAAGAGACAUCUUCUCGUGGAUCCACUGUCACUCUGACCUGUAGGACCAGCCAAGCUGUUCGCAGAUGGGAUGAUGGUGAUGAGGGUAUGUUUUGGUAUCAACAGAAAUCUGGACAGACUCCAAAGCUCCUAAUAAGAUAUGUGAAAACACUUCAGUCAGGAACACCAUCUCGAUUUAGUGGCAGUGGAAGCAGCUCUGACUUCUCUAUGACCAUCAGUGGAGUUCAGGCUGAAGAUGCAGCAGUUUACUACUGUAAGAGUUACCACUACAUAAACAGUGUUCAAGUGUUCACACAGUGAUUUGUAGUCGUACAAAAACCUCCCUCAGUCAGACUGCAGAGACACUGAGCUGUUACAGCAGGAACUGACUGCAGGUGCUGAAAAAGA